rnacentral:rRNA from 1 species
UACGAAGGGGGCUAGCGUUGUUCGGAAUCACUGGGCUUAAAGGGCGCGUAGGCGGGUGCUCAAGUCCGGGGUGAAAUCCUCCAGCUCAACUGGAGAACUGCCUCGGAUACUGGGUGCCUCGAGUGUGGUAGGGGUGUGCGGAACUAUCGGUGGAGCGGUGAAAUGCGUUGAUAUCGAUAGGAACUCCGGUGGCGAAGGCGGCACACUGGACCACAACUGACGCUGAGGCGCGAAAGCCAGGGGAGCAAACGGG